rnacentral:ncRNA from 2 species
UUUAAAUUUAAAGCGCCAGGACUUAAGUGGAGUUUUAAAUCUGUGGCAAUAAACGGAUUUUGAAUGAAACUUCGCUAAUGCGGAGUAAGUUUGCCUAGACCAAAUCAUAGAUUUGGAGGCUCACUCAAGUUGACGAGGAUGGGGAGUAUCGAAUCUUCGGCGGGUGCCCCACGGUAUCGCACUACCGUUAACGGCUUAUAAAAUCUAAAAGUGAUUUUAGGCACAAAAUAAGCUAGGUGUUAAAA